AGUUUCAUUCCAUUUCAGAUCUUUUCCGGUCUACUGAACAGAGCAGCAACACGUCAUGAGGACUCUGAGCCUUCUUCUCCUUGUGGUCGCCGUCGCCUACGCGUUAGAGGAAGCGUCCGUCUCUGAAUAUGAUAAUCUG